CCUACGGGUGACAGCAGUGAGGAAUAUUGGUCAAUGGGCGGAAGCCUGAACCAGCCAAGUCGCGUGAGGGAAUAAGGCCCUACGGGUCGUAAACCUCUUUUGCCGGGGAGCAAGGGCCGGGACGAGUCCCGGUCCGGAGAGUACCCGUAGAAAAAGCAUCGGCUAACUCCGUGCCAGCAGCGGCGGUAAUACGGAGGAUGCGAGCGUUAUCCGAAUUUAUUGGGUUUAAGGGGUGCGUAGGCGGGCUUUUAAGUCAGCGGUAAAGAUUCGGGGCUAAACCCAGUCUGGCCGUUGAAACUGGGAGCCUUGAGUAGACGAGAAGAAGGCGGAAUGCGUGGUGUAGCGGUGAAAUGCAUAGAUAUCACGCAGAACCCCGAUUGCGAAGGCAGCCUUCCGGAGCCCUACUGACGCUGAGGCACGAAAGUGCGGGGAUCGAACAGGAUUAGAUACCCGUGUAGUC
rnacentral:rRNA from 1 species